rnacentral:ribozyme from 1 species
CAAGUUUGAGGCCAUAGCAGAAGCAUUUAUGAUGAGACCUGUCAGAUUCCAAUUAAUCUGUAAAUUCUGCU